rnacentral:rRNA from 1 species
GAUGAACGCUGGCGGCGUGCCUAAUACAUGCAAGUCGAGCGAACGGACGAGAAGCUUGCUUCUCUGAUGUUAGCGGCGGACGGGUGAGUAACACGUGGAUAACCUACCUAUAAGACUGGGAUAACUUCGGGAAACCGGAGCUAAUACCGGAUAAUAUUUUGAACCGCAUGGUUCAAAAGUGAAAGACGGUCUUGCUGUCACUUAUAGAUGGAUCCGCGCUGCAUUAGCUAGUUGGUAAGGUAACGGCUUACCAAGGCAACGAUGCAUAGCCGACCUGAGAGGGUGAUCGGCCACACUGGAACUGAGACACGGUCCAGACUCCUACGGGAGGCAGCAGUAGGGAAUCUUCCGCAAUGGGCGAAAGCCUGACGGAGCAACGCCGCGUGAGUGAUGAAGGUCUUCGGAUCGUAAAACUCUGUUAUUAGGGAAGAACAUAUGUGUAAGUAACUGUGCACAUCUUGACGGUACCUAAUCAGAAAGCCACGGCUAACUACGUGCCAGCAGCCGCGGUAAUACGUAGGUGGCAAGCGUUAUCCGGAAUUAUUGGGCGUAAAGCGCGCGUAGGCGGUUUUUUAAGUCUGAUGUGAAAGCCCACGGCUCAUUCGUGGAGGGUCAUUGGAAACUGGAAAACUUGAGUGCAGAAGAGGAAAGUGGAAUUCCAUGUGUAGCGGUGAAAUGCGCAGAGAUAUGGAGGAACACCAGUGGCGAAGGCGACUUUCUGGUCUGUAACUGACGCUGAUGUGCGAAAGCGUGGGGAUCAAACAGGAUUAGAUACCCUGGUAGUCCACGCCGUAAACGAUGAGUGCUAAGUGUUAGGGGGUUUCCGCCCCUUAGUGCUGCAGCUAACGCAUUAAGCACUCCGCCUGGGGAGUACGACCGCAAGGUUGAAACUCAAAGGAAUUGACGGGGACCCGCACAAGCGGUGGAGCAUGUGGUUUAAUUCGAAGCAACGCGAAGAACCUUACCAAAUCUUGGUAUCCUUUGACAACUCUAGAGAUAGAGCCUUCCCCUUCGGGGGACAAAGUGACAGGUGGUGCAUGGUUGUCGUCAGCUCGUGUCGUGAGAUGUUGGGUUAAGUCCCGCAACGAGCGCAACCCUUAAGCUUAGUUGCCAUCAUUAAGUUGGGCACUCUAAGUUGACUGCCGGUGACAAACCGGAGGAAGGUGGGGGUGACGUCAAAUCAUCAUGCCCCUUAUGAUUUGGGCUACACACGUGCUACAAUGGACAAUACAAAGGGCAGCGAAACCGCGAGGUCAAGCAAAUCCCAUAAAGUUGUUCUCAGUUCGGAUUGUAGUCUGCAACUCGACUACAUGAAGCUGGAAUCGCUAGUAAUCGUAGAUCAGCAUGCUACGGUGAAUACGUUCCCGGGUCU